UUUCUAUUUUAUCCCAUUACACAAUCUUGAUUGAAUGUCGAAUCCAUUGAAGAUGAAAUACAUUAUUGUCAUUGACCAAUCAAAACAUGAUACGUGACCGUCAUUAUCC
rnacentral:pre_miRNA from 1 species